AAAAUUUGAUAUUCUGAUAUACUACCAAACAUAGUUUAUUGACUUAGAAAAAUAUAGAUUUUUUUCAGAUUUUCUCCUAUAAAUAGAUGUUUGAAAUAGGUGAUGUAUAUAAGAAGGAUAUCUUUUAAACUUGGGAAGAUCUUUUACCUCUGACUAUGUAAAGAAUAAAAAGUAUAAGUGACAAAAGUAGGUAUUGACUAAAUAAUUUAUUACCAAGUGCAGUUUAUAUACAUAGGAAUUUAUCUUUAUAUAUAUAGGAUUAUUUUAUUCUUUGAAAAUAAAAUCAGAUAUAUAAGGAAAAAUAUCUUGCAAAAAAAAAAAGAAGAAGUUAUUUUAUAAAUGGGCCAUCUCGCUAACUAAUAUGCUAGUUGAGCCUUUAGGCCCAAAGAAAUAAAUUAAAAACCGUCGUGUAUGAUAUAGGCUCAAUGCGAAUCGAAAUAAAGUCUCUUUACUUUUUCUGUUGCGAAGGUAGUUUAGAGAAAAUAUUAAAAAUAAAAUAAAAAAGUUUAAAUAAAAAUGAAUUAUAAAAUCCUACAAAUACAAUAAAUUAUUUAAUAAAAAUAAAAUAGAAAACUAACUAUAAAAUAAGUGAUAUUUAUUUUUUAAAACCUAAGAAAAUAAAAAUAUAAAAGUACUCUUAUUAUUUUCAUAUAAAUAACUAACUUUUCUUUUUAACAGAUAAAUGUAUGCCACAAAAUAUAAACAAAAAUAAAUAUUAUUCUUACAUCUAUAUUUAGGUUUAAGCUUUCUCAUAUUAUUUUCACAAAGCGUGGUUCUUCAAAG
rnacentral:lncRNA from 1 species